rnacentral:rRNA from 1 species
AUGACGAACCCAGGCUGCAUAAUCCUCGUCUGCGUCAUUUGCUUCUUCGCCAUCGUAGGUUGCGAGCUCGCCUUCCUCGUCAUCGAUGGCUACAAGAAGCCGCGCUACUACGCGGCCAUCAACUCCUUCUCCGGCCUCGACCCGGCCAAGGAUCUCCGCCGGCCCUCGCUCGACCCUGUAUUCAACAUCAGCCUCGGCGUCGCUUCCGACGACCUCCGCCACGGCGAGUGCGUUGUGCCCGGCACGGCCGUGAAGGUCUCCUACCGCGGCUCCCCGCUCGCCAGCGGGACCGCCGUGCAGCUCUGCGCCUGGCCGAGGACGGCGCCGAGCGAGCAGUCCCUCGUCGCCUGGGGCCGCGGCGUGCGCCUACCGGGCUUCAGGCUGGACAACCUCGCGGCCGACGCGCGGUGAGGCGUCGAGGCGUUCGAGGUCACGCUCCAGAUGCCACCGACUAGCGACGACGUGGGGAAGAUCGUGACGUGCACGGCCAGGCGGGUAGGGGACGCCGCCGCCUUGCAGGUUCCGUGCGAUAUGUCCAACAUGGGCUACGACUGGAAGCCGUCGCCCAAGGAUCUGCACGGCGGUGCCUGA